UUUCUAUGGAGUUAAUCAUAGUAAAUGAAUAUAAAGCUGAGCGAAUCGAUAAAACAGCUUAUGACUAUAUUCUGGUUCUAUCUAGUUUUCAGAGAUCGUGGGCACUUUCUAUAAGUGCUUGAUUUCUGAGAAUCGUUCUUUGAAAACUGAAUAUUAGAUGAAAAAAGACAUUUUAAUUUUUCUUACGUUUCAUAAAUAACGUAAUAAGUAACUUAAAAAUUACUAAGAAAAACUGAAAUUUCAUAUUUAUUAGAUUAUCUAUAAUGCAAAA
rnacentral:misc_RNA from 1 species